GCCUUCAGGAAGCUGGGUUUCCUGGAGAAAGGAGCUUCCUUCUUCAUCCUCUUCUCCAUUAGCAUUGCUGAAGUGAAGUUCACAGAAAUUAUGUUGGCUCAGGAUGUUUUAUUUUAAAAGCAAACCCCCCAUACUCUGGUUGCUACCUCAGAGAAAUAACUGAUGUUAAAUAGUGCCAUGUCUCUGCUGGGAGAGCUGCUGCAGGGAGCCCACGGGAGGUGGACAAGGGAUGUCCCAGGCUUUCUUGUUCAAUCCUGAGGGUUCAGCUCACUGUGAAGCAGAUGAAUGGUUCUGAGUUUAGAAACAGAGCAAGAUAUGUGUUGUGUAUGGUGGCAACACCUCAAAGCAGUGGGAGGCCAGAGGUGCCCUGGAGGUUCUUCAGCACUGCUCCUCAAGAUGAGUCCUGCUUCCCCGUCCAAGCUUUGGCAAUGUGGAGCUGGGCACAAUGUGGAGGUAUCACAGCUGCGGGUGCAUGGCUUCCUUGCUCCCACCUGCACCUCACCUGCUGGCUGGCACAGCAUCAUGUGUCUCCUCUGCCUCUCCUCUCCCCUCCCUGGGACAGUGAUGCUGGCACUGCACCAUUUCCCAUAUUUAUGGCAGUAAAGCUGUAAUCUCCCUCGAUCCUCAGAAACCUCCAGGAGAGAUUGAUGGAAACACAGGUCAGCCAUUAGUGACCGCUGCAUAAAUCACCCUUAUUAGCCAAGCUCCCUUGGCAAGGCGUGCUGAUAUAUGGACCCGCGAAGUCUGUGAAGCAUUAAGGAAUCAUGACUGCAUACCUGGGGCAGCUGAGGAUCCCUGCUGCAUGAACAGCUUAUCUGGACAAGGGCAGCUGGAUUCUCCUUCUGGCCCUUCUUUUUGUUGUCUGCAAGUUUUUAUCCCUGCCCCAAACCACUUGGUAUUUUUUAAUCAGUCCCAGACUGUGCUUUGGGCUGGCUACUGAGAUGAUGAACAGCAGCAAAGGGAAACCCACCUGGGGCAGUGGCUCCCAAAGAGAGGAAGUGCCCUGAGCCUGAGCAGACAUCCCUCUGAAGAGGUAAAGGUGUCAGAGUAACCUGUCAUGGGAGCAUUUCCCAGUGCAGGAGCUGUGGGCAGUCUCUGCCUUUCAGUCCUGUCUGCUCAUCUGGAAACCUUAAACAGCAAACGGUACCAAACCCUGAUGUACCUGGUCAUGUGUACAGGCUGCUGCCAUCCCAUGGUUUGAUUUGAGACCGAGUACGUGCAGGUCUUGCUGUGUGAGGGAGGUUGAGGCCGAGACUCAACGUAGCAUGUGGAUGAUGGUGAAGGGCUUUUUGACACUGCAGCAGUCCUGCUACCUGGUGUGUGCGAGGGCUCGAAUGCAGUGGGCAGAGUCCACCUUUGGAUGAAAGCAGUGAGGGAAGGGCUGUGGAGAUGGCAUGUGGAAGAGGAUGCUUUGUGGCCAAUGAGGACAGAAAAGCCUGUGGGGAGAUGAGCUAAAUGCUCUCUGUGGACAUUUGCCCUAAUAGAAAUUCAGCAGUCAAUGCUGAUCAGCAGUAAAGGGCAUGGACACUG